rnacentral:rRNA from 1 species
CCUACGGGCGGCAGCAGUGAGGAAUAUUGGUCAAUGGGCGGAAGUCUGAACCAGCCAUGCCGCGUGCAGGAAGAAGGCUCUAUGCGUUGUAAACUGCUUUUGUACAAGGGUAAAACUGACUACGAGUAUUCAGCUGAAAGUCCUGUACGAAUAAGCAUCGGCUAACUCCGUGCCAGCAGCCGCGGUAAUACGGAGGAUCCCAGCGUUAUCCGGAUUUAUUGGGUUUAAAGGGUGCGGAGGCGGAUUGGUAAGUUCGAUGUGAAAUGUCCGAGCUUAACCCGGGAACUGCCUCUGAUACUGUUGAUCUAGAGAGGAGAAGAGGUAGGCGGAAUGUGUGGUGUAGCGGUGAAAUGCUUAGAGAUCAUACAGAACACCGAUGGCGAAGGCAGCUUACCAAUCGAUAUCUGACGUUGAGGCACGAAAGCGUGGGGAGCAAACAGGAUUAGAUACCCGAGUAGUC